GACGAACGCUGGCGGCGUGCUUAACACAUGCAAGUCGAACGGUAAGGCCCUGCUUUCGGGGUACUCGAGUGGCUAACGGGUGAGUAAGACGUAGGUGAGCUGCCCUGCACUUCGGGUUAGGCUUGGGAGACUGGGUCUAAUACCUGAUAGGUGCCAUCUUUAGUGUGGUGGUUGGAAAGGUUUUUGGGUGUAGGAAGGGCUCGCGGCCUAUCGGCUUGUUGGUGUGGUAAUGGCCUACCAAGGCGGCGACGGGUAGCCGGGCUGAGAGGGUGUACGGCCCACUUGGGACUGGGAGAAGGCCCAGACCCCCACGGGAGGCAGGCGUGGGGAAUAUUGCAAAAUGGGCGCGAGCCUGAUGCAGCGACGCCGGGUGGGGGAUGAACGCCUUACGGUUGUAAACCCCCUUCGAUAGGGAAGAAGCUUUUUGUGACGGUACCUAGAUAAGAAGCACCGGCUAACUACGUG
rnacentral:rRNA from 1 species